CCUGGCUCAGGACGAACGCUGGCUGCGUGCUUAACACAUGCAAGUCGAACGCUGAAGCCUGGUGCUUGCACCGGGUGGAUGAGUGGCGAACGGGUGAGUAACACGUGAGUAACCUGCCCCUGACUUCGGGAUAAGCCCGGGAAACUGGGUCUAAUACCGGAUACGACCGUCGGACGCAUGUCUGGUGGUGGAAAGUUUUUUCGGUUGGGGAUGGGCUCGCGGCCUAUCAGUUUGUUGGUGAGGUAAUGGCUCACCAAGACGACGACGGGUAGCCGGCCUGAGAGGGCGACCGGCCACACUGGGACUGAGACACGGCCCAGACUCCUACGGGAGGCAGCAGUGGGGAAUAUUGCACAAUGGGGGAAACCCUGAUGCAGCGACGCAGCGUGCGGGAUGACGGCCUUCGGGUUGUAAACCGCUUUCAGCAGGGAAGAAGCGCAAGU
rnacentral:rRNA from 1 species